UCUUUCCCCUUCUGUCUCUCUCCGGCAUAUGACCACAGAUGUUGAGACCACUAAACCAAACUUUCCAACUGUUCCCUUCUCCUAUAAUUCCUUCCCCUUCUGUCUCUCUCCGGCAUAUGACCACAGAUGUUGCGUCCACUAAACCAAACUUUCCAACUGUUCCCUUCUCCUAUAAUUCCUUCCCCUUCUGUCUCUCUCCGGCAUAUGACCACAGAUGUUGCGCCCACUAAACCAAACUUUCCAACUGUUCCCUUCUCCUAUAAUUCCUUCCCCUUCUGUCUCUCUCCGGCAUAUGACCACAGAUGUUGUGCCCACUAAACAAAACUUUCCAACUGUUCCCUUCUAUAAUUCCUUCCCCUUCUGUCUCUCUCCGGCAUAUUACCACAGAUGUUGCGCCCACUAAACCAAACUUUCUAACCUAGAGCACAAAGAAAACACCACUCUAUUAGCAUCAGUUUGAAUUUCACAUGGCUCUUUCGGUGACAUAUACGCCUCCGUAGUCUAGUGGUCAGCGUGCCUGGCUUCCACUCCGCGGGCCCAGGUUUGAAUCCCGGCCCGGGCAGUCGGCGUGCAGCUCACCCGGCUGUUCAUUCUCCCUCUGGGGCUGGUGGAUAAAUGGGUACCUGGGGAAACCUGGGGAAGGUAAACUGUGGUAACCUGGAUGUCACGCUGGUCCUGUGUCCCGGGGUAAUGGGCUUCCUCCCACCACAGGCUCAAGGGCCAAUGUUACGGAGAUGAGCGCCAAGGCCAUGCGCUGCUACAGUGUAUGCCCCAAACUUUACCUUUUCGAUGACAAAAUUAUGCCGGUGAUCAAGGUGGCCAAGCUCUCCUAUUCAGUGGCUUGAAGGGAAGUGUGUGUGGAUGGUUUGUUUGCUUGCUUAUGUGGUUUGAUUUCCUCACCACAACUUUGCCAGGUUGCUGUACUCCGCCUUUAACCCGGUAGCAGCGACGGGCCAAAACCGCCCUGCGCCAUAUCCGAGAUUGCCGUGCGCGCCAAAUUUCAAAUGUCGCUAUUGAAUAUAACAAGUUUUCAGCCAUAAACUCAACACAAUCAUCAUGUAUUAUAUAUGAAAACAUGCAGAAUUAAAUGGUGCACAUAAAGAAACAUAAAUUAACUGAUAAUUUUGAGAUGUAAGCAUGAAUAUAAAGAUAAGAUAAUUCGUAUAUUAGCUCAAGGGGGAAAGUUUUCAAUCUUGGAUGAAAAAAUAAUAAGAAAAAAAAAAUCACAUGAAUCAGUUGUAGCAGUGCGGAGAUUAUAAAUACGUUGCCAGGCCUAAAACCCUGUUCUUUCCCUUUAAAAUUUAAAGGUCUCGUAGCACGUGGGUCUGCUAAGCCACGCCCCUCUCCCUACUCAUGUCUUUCUUGUUAGUUUUUAUGCGUUUUCACGCAUAAAAUGGAAUAUUCUUUCUUCCUAAACAAGUGUACGAGACUUUUGGUUGUCGGUACUCAGCCCGCGUCGUCCCGGGCCCCGGCAACACGACUCAGAACCUCCAUAGCCUCGUACGUGACUGUACGUACAGCCUUUCUCUUGCCCUUUUCCUCAAUCGGAGACAGUUUACGGCCUGCAGUGCUGUGUUGAAGCUCAACAAUGGGCAGAAAAAGCAGAAGGCAUGUUGAACUGAGUAAAAGAGCUACGGGAAGGUGGAAAAGUUACUGGCAAGAUACAAAAGAACGUACUAUAUCCCAGCCGCCUGCCCGACCACAAGCACCUCACGCUGCUGGUACUGCUCCCGCCCUCACUCCCCAGCCUGUUGUCGAGAGAGAUGUGACUGCCGCGGAACUCAGACAUAGCCUAAUACCUGCAGAGCUCAGGGAGGCGAAGGAUAAAGACGAGGAGGAUAACAGACUCGUGAUAAUGUCUGUUCAUAGACCGAAACAGUUGCUUAGCAUGAUCAAGUGUGACUCUGUGGCGGUGAAGUGGUGAAUUACAUCAAGGCCAAGUACUUUGAUUGUUAUGUGAGUGCUAAAUGCAGUGAGUGUAGGAUGCUGGUGUUACACAAUGGUACAGGUCACCCCUUUGUUAUGUGAGUGUAGGAUGAUGGUGUUACACAAUGGUACAGGUCACCCCUUUGUUAUGUGAGUGUAGGAUGAUGGUGUUACACAAUGGUACAGGUCACCCCUUUGUUAUGUGAGUGUAGGAUGAUGGUGUUACACAAUGGUACAGGUCACCCCUUUGUUAUGUGAGUGUAGGAUGGUGGUGUUACACAAUGGUACAGGUCACCCCUUUGUUAUGUGAGUGUAGGAUGAUGGUGUUACACAAUGGUACAGGUCACCCCUUUGUUAUGUGAGUGUAGGAUGAUGGUGUUACACAGUGGUACAGGUCACCCCUUUGUUAUGUGAGUGUAGGAUGAUGGUGUUACACAAUGGUACAGGUCACCCCUUUGUUAUGUGAGUGUAGGAUGAUGGUGUUACACAAUGGUACAGGUCACCCCUUUGUUAUGUGAGUGUAGGAUGGUGGUGUUACACAAUGGUACAGGUCACCCCUUUGUUAUGUGAGUGUAGGAUGAUGGUGU